AUUGAACGCUGGCGGCAGGCUUAACACAUGCAAGUCGAACGAGUGGCGGACGGGUGAGUAAUGUCUGGGAAACUGCCUGAUGGAGGGGGAUAACUACUGGAAACGGUAGCUAAUACCGCAUACCAUCAGAUGUGCCCAGAUGGGAUGAGAUAGUAGGUGGGGUAAUGGCUCACAUAGGAGACGAUCCCUAGCUGGUCUUAGAGGAUGACCAGCCAAACUGGAACUUAUCCUCGGUCCAGACUCCUACGGGAGGCAGCAGUGGGGAAUAUUGCACAAUGGGCGCAAGCCUGAUGCAGCCAUGCCGCGUGUUUGAAGAAGGCCUUCGGGUUGUAAAGCACUUUCAGCGGGGAGGCGUUACUCGCAGAAGAAGCACCGGCUAACUCCGUGCCAGCAGCCGCGGUAAUUC
rnacentral:rRNA from 1 species